rnacentral:rRNA from 1 species
AGAGUUUGAUCAUGGCUCAGGACGAACGCUGGCGGCGUGCUUAACACAUGCAAGUCGAACGAUGAACCACUUCGGUGGGGAUUAGUGGCGAACGGGUGAGUAACACGUGGGCAAUCUGCCCUGCACUCUGGGACAAGCCCUGGAAACGGGGUCUAAUACCGGAUACUGAUCGCCUUGGGCAUCCUUGGUGAUCGAAAGCUCCGGCGGUGCAGGAUGAGCCCGCGGCCUAUCAGCUUGUUGGUGAGGUAAUGGCUCACCAAGGCGACGACGGGUAGCCGGCCUGAGAGGGCGACCGGCCACACUGGGACUGAGACACGGCCCAGACUCCUACGGGAGGCAGCAGUGGGGAAUAUUGCACAAUGGGCGAAAGCCUGAUGCAGCGACGCCGCGUGAGGGAUGACGGCCUUCGGGUUGUAAACCUCUUUCAGCAGGGAAGAAGCGAAAGUGACGGUACCUGCAGAAGAAGCGCCGGCUAACUACGUGCCAGCAGCCGCGGUAAUACGUAGGGCGCGAGCGUUGUCCGGAAUUAUUGGGCGUAAAGAGCUCGUAGGCGGCUUGUCGCGUCGGUUGUGAAAGCCCGGGGCUUAACCCCGGGUCUGCAGUCGAUACGGGCAGGCUAGAGUUCGGUAGGGGAGAUCGGAAUUCCUGGUGUAGCGGUGAAAUGCGCAGAUAUCAGGAGGAACACCGGUGGCGAAGGCGGAUCUCUGGGCCGAUACUGACGCUGAGGAGCGAAAGCGUGGGGAGCGAACAGGAUUAGAUACCCUGGUAGUCCACGCCGU